AUUUCCUAAAGAGGCAUUUUGAAACAUUGAAAAUUUGGAAGAGUUUUAUGAUCAUUAUUACUCCAUGUUUGUUGUACUAUAAAAUGAUUCAUAAUUGUCAAUGGCAUUUUUUAGCAAAUACUAAACUAUCACCACAAAAGUUCCGUAAAUUUUGACGUCGUCAUAAAAUAUAUCUGACGUCACAAUGGAAAAGUAAACAAC
rnacentral:lncRNA from 1 species